AUUGAACGCUGGCGGCAGGCCUAACACAUGCAAGUCGAGCGGAUGAAGGGAGCUUGCUCCUGGAUUCAGCGGCGGACGGGUGAGUAAUGCCUAGGAAUCUGCCUGGUAGUGGGGGAUAACGUCCGGAAACGGGCGCUAAUACCGCAUACGUCCUGAGGGAGAAAGUGGGGGAUCUUCGGACCUCACGCUAUCAGAUGAGCCUAGGUCGGAUUAGCUAGUUGGUGGGGUAAAGGCCUACUAAGGCGACGAUCCGUAACUGGUCUGAGAGGAUGAUCAGUCACACUGGAACUGAGACACGGUCCGGACUCCUACGGGAGGCAGCAGUGGGGAAUAUUGGACAAUGGGCGAAAGCCUGCUCCAGCCAUGCCGCGUGUGUGAAGAAGGUCUUCGGAUUGUAAAGCACUUUAAGUUGGGAGGAAGGGCAGUAAGUUAAUACCUUGCUGUUUUGACGUUACCAACAGAAUAAGCACCGGCUAACUUCGUG
rnacentral:rRNA from 1 species